rnacentral:rRNA from 1 species
AGUCAUGCCGCGUGAGUGAAGAAGGCCUUCGGGUUGUAAAGCUCUUUUGUCAGGGAAGAAACGGCGGACUCUAACAUAGUCUGUUAAUGACGGUACCUGAAGAAUAAGCACCGGCUAACUACGUGCCAGCAGCCGCGGUAAUACGUAGGGUGCAAGCGUUAAUCGGAAUUACUGGGCGUAAAGCGUGCGCAGGCGGUUUUGUAAGUCAGAUGUGAAAUCCCCGGGCUUAACCUGGGAAUGGCAUUUGAGACUGCAAGGCUAGAGUGUGUCAGAGGGGGGUAGAAUUCCACGUGUAGCAGUGAAAUGCGUAGAGAUGUGGAGGAACACCGAUGGCGAAGGCAGCCCCCUGGGAUAACACUGACGCUCAUGCACGAAAGCGUGGGGAGCAAACAGGAUUAGAUACCCUGGUAGUCCACGCCCUAAACGAUGUCGACUAGUUGUCGGGUCUUAAUUGACUUGGUAACGCAGCUAACGCGUGAAGUCGACCGCCUGGGGAGUACGGUCGCAAGAUUACAACUCAAAGGAAUUGACGGGGACCCGCACAAGCGGUGGAUGAUGUGGAUUAAUUCGAUGCAACGCGAAAAACUUUA